rnacentral:rRNA from 1 species
GAUGAACGCUGGCGGCGUGCCUAAUACAUGCAAGUCGAGCGAACAGACGAGGAGCUUGCUCCUCUGACGUUAGCGGCGGACGGGUGAGUAACACGUGGAUAACCUACCUAUAAGACUGGGAUAACUUCGGGAAACCGGAGCUAAUACCGGAUAAUAUAUUGAACCGCAUGGUUCAAUAGUGAAAGACGGUUUUGCUGUCACUUAUAGAUGGAUCCGCGCCGCAUUAGCUAGUUGGUAAGGUAACGGCUUACCAAGGCGACGAUGCGUAGCCGACCUGAGAGGGUGAUCGGCCACACUGGAACUGAGACACGGUCCAGACUCCUACGGGAGGCAGCAGUAGGGAAUCGUCCGCAAUGGGCGAAAGCCUGACGGAGCAACGCCGCGUGAGUGAUGAAGGUCUUCGGAUCGUAAAACUCUGUUAUUAGGGAAGAACAAAUGUGUAAGUAACUAUGUACGUCUUGACGGUACCUAAUCAGAAAGCCACGGCGAACUACGU